rnacentral:rRNA from 1 species
GGCCUAACAUAUGCAAGUCGAGCGAGAACGUGGCUUCGGCCAUCAGUAAAGCGGCGGACGGGUGAGUAACACGUAGGUAAUCUUCCCUAGAGCGGGGGACAACGUUUCGAAAGGAACGCUAAUACCGCAUACGUUUCUGAGGGCUCCGGCUCUUGGAAGGAAAGCUAGGCCGCAAGGUCCGGCACUCGAGGAGGAGCCUGCGUCGCAUCAGCUAGUUGGUGGGGUAAUGGCCUACCAAGGCGAAGACGCGUAGCUGGUCUGAGAGGAUGAUCAGCCACACUGGGACUGAGACACGGCCCAGACUCCUACGGGAGGCAGCAGUGGGGAAUAUUGGACAAUGGGCGCAAGCCUGAUCCAGCCACGCCGCGUGAGUGAUGAAGGCCUUCGGGUCGUAAAGCUCUGUGGGGAGGGACGAACCGCUGGAGGUGCAUAGCUUCCAGCAUGACGGUA